UACGUAGGGGGCAAGCGUUGUCCGGAAUCAUUGGGCGUAAAGAGCGCGUAGGCGGCCCAGUAAGUCCGCUCUGAAAGUCAGGGGCUCAACCCCUGAAUGCGGGUGGAUACUGCUGGGCUAGAGUCCGGAAGAGGCGAGUGGAAUUCCUGGUGUAGCGGUGAAAUGCGCAGAUAUCGGGAAAGAACACCGGUGGCGAAGGCGGUUCGCUGGGCCGAUGCUGACGCUGAGGCGCGAAGC
rnacentral:rRNA from 1 species